rnacentral:rRNA from 1 species
GACGAACGCUGGCGGCGUGCUUAACACAUGCAAGUCGAACGGAAAGGCCCUGCUUUUGUGGGGUGCUCGAGUGGCGAACGGGUGAGUAACACGUGAGUAACCUGCCCUUUACUUUGGGAUAACUUCAGGAAACUGGGGCUAAUACCGGAUAGGAGCUCCUGCUGCAUGGUGGGGGUUGGAAAGUUUCGGCGGUUGGGGAUGGACUCGCGGCUUAUCAGCUUGUUGGUGGGGUAGUGGCUUACCAAGGCUUUGACGGGUAGCCGGCCUGAGAGGGUGACCGGCCACAUGGGGACUGAGAUACGGCCCAGACUCCGACGGGAGGCAGCAGUGGGGAAUAUUGCACAAUGGGAGGAAGCCUGAUGCAGCAACGCCGCGUGCGGGAUGACGGCCUUCGGGUUGUAAACCGCUUUCGCCUGUGACGAAGCGUGAGUGACGGUAAUGGGUAAAGAAGCACCGGCUAACUACGUG